GACGUAGGGGGCGAGCGUUGUCCGGAUUUAUUGGGCGUAAAGCGUGCGUAGGCGGCUGCGCAAGUCGGGUGUGAAACCCCGGGGCUCAACCCCGGAACUGCAUCCGAUACUGCGUGGCUAGAGGUAGGUAGGGGAGAUCGGAAUUCCUGGUGUAGCGGUGAAAUGCGCGGAUAUCAGGAGGAACACCGGUGGCGAAGGCGGAUCUCUGGGCCUUACCUGACGCUCAGGCACGAAAGCUAGGGGAGCGAACAGG
rnacentral:rRNA from 1 species